rnacentral:rRNA from 1 species
UACAGAGGUCUCAAGCGUUGUUCGGAUUCAUUGGGCGUAAAGGGUGCGUAGGCGGCGCGGUAAGUCGGGUGUGAAAUCUUGGAGCUUAACUCCGAAACUGCAUUCGAUACUGCCGUGCUUGAGGACUGGAGAGGAGACUGGAAUUUACGGUGUAGCGGUGAAAUGCGUAGAUAUCGUAAGGAAGACCAGGUGGCGAAGGCGGGUCUCUGGACAGUUCCGUGA